AGAAAGCAAUAUUGUUAUCGUUAUGGUACCUUGCCAAUACAGAAACAUUUCGACAGGUUGCGGAUCGUUUCAAUGUGUCUUUAAGUUCAGCACAUAGGUGUUUGUAUGGCCUUGUAAGAACGAAGCGAAACAUAUUGGUGAAGAAUUUGAGAAAAAGUAGGGAAUCAAAAAUGUUAUUGGGGCAAUUGACGGCUGUCACAUUCGAAUAAAUAAACCCAAACUCAAUCAAGAUUCGUAUGUUAACCGAAAAGAUGUAUAUUGUGGAGAACCUGGGUCUUUGCAUGAUGCCAGAUUGUUGCGUAAAUCAACAUUAUAUGCAAAGGCUGCAGAAAAUGAAGACAUAUUUUAUAAUAUGUUUUUGUUGGGAGACUCGGCAUAUCCAUGUCUUAAUUGGAUUGUCCCACCGUUUAAAGAUAAUGGCAACUUAACUGUACAGCAGAAAAGAUUUAAUUAUAAACAUUCCAGCACUAGAAUUUGUGUAGAAAAUGCAUUUGGCUUGUUGAAGGGAAGAUUUCGCAGGUUGACACAUUUUGAGAAUUUAGAUAUGCAUCUAAUUGUUAAAUGCAUCAUGGCAUGUUGUGUUCUUCACAACCUUUGUCUUA